UGGGGAAUAUUGCACAAUGGGCGAAAGCCCGAUGCAGCAACGCCGCGUGAGUGAUGAAGGCCUUCGGGUUGUAAAGCUCUGUCUUUGGGACGAUAAUGACGGUACCAAAGGAGGAAGCCACGGCUAACUACGUGCCAGCAGCCGCGGUAAUACGUAGGUGGCAAGCGUUGUCCGGAUUUACUGGGCGUAAAGGAUGCGUAGGCGGAUUUUUAAGUGAGAUGUGAAAACCCUAAGCUUAACUUGGGGACUGCAUUUCAUACUGGAAAUCUAGAGUGCGGGAGAGGAGAAUGGAAUUCCUAGUGUAGCGGUGAAAUGCGUAGAGAUUAGGAAGAACACCAGUGGCGAAGGCGAUUCUCUGGACCGUAACUGACGCUGAGGCAUGAAAGCGUGGGUAGCAAACAGGAUUAGAUACCCUGGUAGUCCACGCCGUAAACGAUGAGUACUAGGUGUAGGAGGUAUCGACCCCUUCUGUGCCGCAGUUAACACAAUAAGUACUCCGCCUGGGAAGUACGAUCGCAAGAUUAAAACUCAAAGGAAUUGACGGGGUCAUAGCUGUUUUCC
rnacentral:rRNA from 1 species